GAAGACCUUGCAAGCCAGGUGAAGAACCUCUCCCAUGAACUGACAAGGGCUCAAGCUGACAAUAAGCAGGUCCAUGCUAUGAGGGCUGAGAUUGAUGCUCUACGUCAGGAGCUUGCGCAUGCUAGAGCCACAAUUGAGUAUGAGAAGAAGGGAAAUGCUGAGCUGUAUGAGCAGAGGCAAUCAAUGGAGAAGAACUUGAUUUCUAUGGCAAGG
rnacentral:misc_RNA from 1 species